UAGCCUUGCGGCCGUACUCCCCAGGCGGGACACUUAUUGCGUUAGCUUCGGCACGGAGGGGGUCGAUACCCCCCACACCUAGUGUCCAUAGUUUACGGCGUGGACUACCCGGGUAUCUAAUCCGGUUCGCUCCCCACGCUUUCGCGUCUCAGCGUCAGGUAAGGCCCAGAAAGCCGCCUUCGCCACUGGUGUUCCUCCCGAUAUCUACGCAUAUCACCACUACACCGGGAAUUCCACUUUCCUCUGCCUCCCUCAAGUCCGCCAGUAUCCAAGGACCUCUCCCAGUUGAGCCGGGAGCUUUCACCCUAGACUUAACAGACCGCCUGCACGCCCUUUACGCCCAGUAAAUCCGGACAACGCUUGCCACCUACGUAUUACCGCGGCUGCUGGCACGUAGUUAGCCGUGGCUUAUUCGCAAGGUACCGUCAUCAUCUUCCCCUGCAAAAGGGCUUUACAACCCGAAGGCCUUCAUCGCCCACGCGGCGUUGCUGGGUCAGGCUUUCGCCCAUUCCCAAGAUUCCUAG
rnacentral:rRNA from 1 species